CCUACGGGUGGCAGCAGUGAGGAAUAUUGGUCAAUGGGCGAGAGCCUGAACCAGCCAAGUCGCGUGAGGGAGUACUGCCCUAUGGGUUGUAAACCUCUUUUGUCGGGGAGCAAAAGCCGGACGUGUCCGGCUGUGAGAGUACCCGAAGAAAAAGCAUCGGCUCACUCCGUGCCAGCAGCCGCGGUAAUACGGAGGAUGCGAGCGUUAUCCGGAUUUAUUGGGUUUUAAGGGUGCGCAGGCGGAUUUUUAAGUCAGCGGUAAAAUCGUGGGGCUCAACCCCAUCCAGCCGUUGAAACUGGGGAUCUAGAGUGUGCGAGAGGUAUGCGGAAUGCGUGGUGUAGCGGUGAAAUGCAUAGAUAUCACGCAGAACCCCGAUUGCGAAGGCAGCAUACCGGUGCACAACUGACGCUCAGGCACGAAAGCGUGGGUAUCGAACAGGAUUAGAUACCCCAGUAGUC
rnacentral:rRNA from 1 species